rnacentral:rRNA from 1 species
AACGAACGCUGGCGGCAGGCCUAACACAUGCAAGUCGAGCGCGCCCUUCGGGGUGAGCGGCGGACGGGUGAGUAACGCGUGGGAACGUGCCCUUUUCUACGGAAUAGCCUCGGGAAACUGAGAGUAAUACCGUAUACGCCCUUUGGGGGAAAGAUUUAUCGGAAAAGGAUCGGCCCGCGUUGGAUUAGGUAGUUGGUGGGGUAAUGGCCUACCAAGCCGACGAUCCAUAGCUGGUUUGAGAGGAUGAUCAGCCACACUGGGACUGAGACACGGCCCAGACUCCUACGGGAGGCAGCAGUGGGGAAUCUUAGACAAUGGGGGCAACCCUGAUCUAGCCAUGCCGCGUGAGUGAUGAAGGCCUUAGGGUUGUAAAGCUCUUUCAGCUGGGGAGAUAAUGACGGUACCAGCAGAAGAAGCCCCGGCUAACUCCGUG